rnacentral:rRNA from 1 species
CCUACGGGAGGCAGCAGUGGGGAAUUUUGGACAAUGGGCGCAAGCCUGAUCCAGCAAUGCCGCGUGAGUGAAGAAGGCCUUCGGGUUGUAAAGCUCUUUUGUCAGGGAAGAAACGGUGGGAGCUAAUAUCUCCUACUAAUGACGGUACCUGAAGAAUAAGCACCGGCUAACUACGUGCCAGCAGCCGCGGUAAUACGUAGGGUGCAAGCGUUAAUCGGAAUUACUGGGCGUAAAGCGUGCGCGGGCGGUUUUGUAAGUCUGUCGUGAAAGCCCCGGGCUCAACCUGGGAAUUGCGAUGGAGACUGCAAGGCUUGAAUCUGGCAGAGGGGGGUAGAAUUCCACGUGUAGCAGUGAAAUGCGUAGAGAUGUGGAGGAACACCGAUGGCGAAGGCAGCCCCCUGGGUCAAGAUUGACGCUCAUGCACGAAAGCGUGGGGAGCAAACAGGAUUAGAUACCCUGGUAGUCCACGCCCUAAACGAUGUCUACUAGUUGUCGGGUUUUAAUUAACUUGGUAACGCAGCUAACGCGUGAAGUAGACCGCCUGGGGAUACGGUCGCAAGNUUAAAACUCAAAGGAAUUGACGGCUGAGACGNGCGAGACGACGACGAGGGAGGAGG